rnacentral:rRNA from 1 species
GACGAACGCUGGCGGCGUGCUUAACACAUGCCAGUCGAACGGUGAAGUUCCAGCUUGCUGGAGUGGAUCAGUGGCGAACGGGUGAGUAACACGUGAGCAACCUGCCCCUGACUCUGGAAUAAGCGCUGGAAACGGCGUCUAAUACUGGAUACGAGAAGGGUCCGCAUGGGCACUUUCUGGAAAGUUUUUCGGUUGGGGAUGGGCUCGCGGCCUAUCAGCUUGUUGGUGAGGUAAUGGCUCACCAAGGCGACGACGGGUAGCCGGCCUGAGAGGGCGACCGGCCACACUGGGACUGAGACACGGCCCAGACUCCUACGGGAGGCAGCAGUGGGGAAUAUUGCACAAUGGGCGAAAGCCUGAUGCAGCGACGCCGCGUGAGGGAUGACGGCCUUCGGGUUGUAAACCUCUUUCAGCAGGGAAGAAGCGAAAGUGACGGUACCUGCAGAAGAAGCACCGGCUAACUACGUG